UCUCUUUAAAUCUUUCUCCAUGUCUUUCUCUUGUGACAAUUUUCUUACUUCUACACUUUUUUGUUUUUACCUGUCGCUCUAUAUUUCCCUUUAGUUAUUUUCACUGUUGAAGCAAUGAGGGAAACAGUUCUUUUCUUUCAGCAAUCAGCUAAAUCACAGGGUUACUAAUGUGACUAUCAAGUUUUCUGGGCUCCUGUUUGCUUUGAGGAAGAUAAAUUAACACUAAUUUUAAGGUCUGCUAUGGAAAUAAAGGGAUAUGCUUUUUUGGGAUAUGUACUACACACUCUGCAGGACAAGAUCUUUCCAAAGUGAUGACAAUGAGGUAUGAGAUUCAUAGAAGGGUACGUUGGCUUGUUCAAAUGUUUCAAUGCAAUCUCUUCUAAUCUAUGAUGUUAUUGUUUCCAGUGCAUAUAUUUCACUUUUUAGAAGUCUUCUCGUUUGUUUAAAAGUAUUGGAAACUCAAAGCAAUAACUUGAGUUUAGCUAUGCUGUUUCAUCAUAGAAAUGUUUGUUCUUGCAUGGAUAAAUGAUGGUUACAAGUCUAACUGAUUGCUACAACUACUUAAGCAACUAUGAUAUGGGUCAUCAACUGCUUUAUGAAAAGUGUCAUUUUCAUUCUAGGAUAUAUACAACAUUGGAGAAUCAUAUGUGAUUUCUUUUUGCCCUUUUGAGUUGCUUCCAAACAAAGAAAGCUAAAUUGUAUCAGAUGUAGCACUUUUUGUUUUAACUGGGAACAUGCUGGUUUUAUCCUUUCACUUCCAGUGUCCUAUGGCUUCCAGUGUUCAAUAGGAUAAAGGGGUUCCUUCUUCUCAGAACGUCCUUUUGUUUUCUCUCUUUCAUUAUGAUGCAUAGGGCUGUACCAAACUGAAGGCAGCUGCUGGCUAAUUUUGCGGGCAGAUGUAAUGGCCAGCAGUCAUUUUCAAAUGUCAA